rnacentral:rRNA from 1 species
UACAGAGGUCCCAAGCGUUGUUCGGAUUCACUGGGCGUAAAGGGUGCGUAGGCGGUCGGGUGAGUCUGAUGUGAAAUCUCACAGCUUAACUGUGAAACUGCAUUGGAUACUAUCCGGCUCGAGGAAUGGAGGGGAGACUGGAAUACUUGGUGUAGCAGUGAAAUGCGUAGAUAUCAAGUGGAACACCAGUGGCGAAGGCGAGUCUCUGGACAUUUCCUGACGCUGAGGCACGAAAGCCAGGGGAGCAAACGGG